AGUGAACGCUGGCGGUAGGCCUAACACAUGCAAGUCGAACGGCAGCACAGGAGAGCUUGCUCUCUGGGUGGCGAGUGGCGGACGGGUGAGGAAUACAUCGGAAUCUACUUUUUCGUGGGGGAUAACGUAGGGAAACUUACGCUAAUACCGCAUACGACCUACGGGUGAAAGCAGGGGACCUUCGGGCCUUGCGCGAUUGAAUGAGCCGAUGUCGGAUUAGCUAGUUGGCGGGGUACAGGCCCACCAAGGGGACGAUCCGUAGCUGGUCUGAGAGGAUGAUCAGCCACACUGGAACUGAGACACGGUCCAGACUCCUACGGGAGGCAGCAGUGGGGAAUAUUGGACAAUGGGCGCAAGCCUGAUCCAGCCAUACCGCGUGGGUGAAGAAGGCCUUCGGGUUGUAAAGCCCUUUUGUUGGGAAAGAAAUCCAGCUGGCUAAUACCCGGUUGGGAUGACGGUACCCAAAGAAUAAGCACCGGCUAACUUCGUGCCAGCCGCCGCGGUAA
rnacentral:rRNA from 1 species